rnacentral:rRNA from 1 species
UCGUAGGCGGCCUGUCGCGUCGGAUGUGAAAGCCCGGGGCUUAACCCCGGGUCUGCAUUCGAUACGGGCAGGCUAGAGUGUGGUAGGGGAGAUCGGAAUUCCUGGUGUAGCGGUGAAAUGCGCAGAUAUCAGGAGGAACACCGGUGGCGAAGGCGGAUCUCUGGGCCAUUACUGACGCUGAGGAGCGAAAGCGUGGGGAGCGAACAGGAUUAGAUACCCUGGUAGUCCACGCCGUAAACGUUGGGAACUAGGUGUUGGCGACAUUCCACGUCGUCGGUGCCGCAGCUAACGCAUUAAGUUCCCCGCCUGGGGAGUACGGCCGCAAGGCUAAAACUCAAAGGAAUUGACGGGGGCCCGCACAAGCAGCGGAGCAUGUGGCUUAAUUCGACGCAACGCGAAGAACCUUACCAAGGCUUGACAUAUGCCGGAAACAUCCAGAGAUGGGUGCCCCCUUGUGGUCGGUAUACAGGUGGUGCAUGGUUGUCGUCAGCUCGUGUCGUGAGAUGUUGGGU